GACGAACGCUGGCGGCGUGCUUAACACAUGCAAGUCGAACGAAGUGGCGAACGGGUGAGUAACGCGUAAUCAACCUGCCCUUCAGAGGGGGACAACAGUUGGAAACGACUGCUAAUACCGCAUACUGAAGGAGGUGUUUGCGUCUGAUUAGCUAGUUGGAGGGGUAACGGCCCACCAAGGCUAUGAUCAGUAGCCGGUCUGGAAGGAUGAACGGCCAAAGAGGGAAUGGGGAACGGCCCAGAAUCAUAAGGGGAGGAACAGUGGGGAAAUGUCCGGAAUGGAAGAAAGUCUGACGGAGCAACGCCGGGGUGGGGGUGAAGGGCUUCGGGUGGGAAAGCUCUGUUAAUCGGGACACAGUACCUAAAUAGAAAGCCACGGCUAACUACGUGCCAGCCGCCGCGGUAAUAC
rnacentral:rRNA from 1 species